CCAAAAUCAGCCCGAGGAGUGGGAGAUACAAAAGACUCCACUGCAACACCUCCAACCAGAGACACCAGCGACCUGCUUCACCCUAGCAACAGCAACCACCAGUAAGAAUCUGAUGGGAUGGAGACUAUAGCACCCAGUCCCUCUCCCCAGACUUAGAUUAUACUAUCUCAACUUCCCCUGCA
rnacentral:lncRNA from 1 species